rnacentral:sRNA from 1 species
CCCAUUACUGUCGAUAUAUUUCUUCCAUGUUGAAGUAAAAGGAAUUUAAGCUGAAUAAAAAGUAUUUUGUAAGUGAGAUGCUUCCUUGAAUGUGUAUUUUGUCACUGUAAAACGUUUUGUUCCGGAUUGGUUUUAUCCACAGAUCUCUCCACCGCAAAGGACAUGCCUGUGUUAGUGACUGAAUAUAGUCUACUGACGAGCCUCUGCUCUGAAGUUUUUACCCGGAGAGCACACUCCCUUUCCCCUGGCUAGAUCUCUUCCUAUUCAUUUCAACAACGCGAUAUUGAGCGUCUAUUACGUGAAAGGAGGCUGCUCCUGCUGACGAAGCAGAUACGGAGAACAUUAACACUGACGAAUAAACCGUUUGUAGGUGAAGAGCAGUGGAAAGAGUGUGGGCUGAAAUGGAAGAAUGGCAGAAAGCCAGACCUCACCUAGGUUAUUAUAAAGUGCGCAAUAGCACCCUGGCUCCUCCUUAUUCCCUACAGCCCGCUUUCCACUCCUCAGCGGAUUGUCCCUCUGAAAGGCAUUAUAUUUACUCCUGGAUGGAGACCAAUGUCAUCAGUUCUUUAAAGUACCUGAAGCAGCAUAUCCCUGAAUAGAAAGAAAGAUUCUCCAGCUCCUCCUAAUAUUUGACUGUGGAUCUCUGUAUCUGUGCUGGGGGUACAGGAGGAGGACGGAGGGGGAGAGUACUGGAAGAGACAACUGGAAUUUGAGGGCAUUUCCAGGGCAAGAUAGAAAACUGGACAAUGGUGAUUGCCCCUGAGAUUUUGCUGGCUUGACACAACAGGACCAAUCCUGAGCCAGAAAUCUACAGGACUGGAUUCAAAGUCUGACAAUCAUUAUUUCAUCCUGCUGCCCCUGUGACUUCAGGCAAGAAACUAACCUUCUGGUUCCUCGAAUCUGUGUUUAAACUAUCGACAUCAGCUUAGCUUCCAGAAGCUAGCUGUGAUGAGUAAAUA